UACGUAGGGGGCAAGCGUUGUCCGGAUUUACUGGGCGUAAAGAGCGCGCAGGCGGUCGAUCAAGUCGAGUGUGAAAGCCCCCGGCUCAACUGGGGAGGGUCAUUCGAUACUGAUCGACUCGAAGGCAGGAGAGGGUAGUGGAAUUCCCGGUGUAGUGGUGAAAUGCGUAGAUAUCGGGAGGAACACCAGUGGCGAAGGCGACUACCUGGCCUGUUCUUGACGCUGAGGCGCGAAAGCUAGGGGAGCGAACAGG
rnacentral:rRNA from 1 species